rnacentral:rRNA from 1 species
GAUGAACGCUGGCGGCGUGCCUAAUACAUGCAAGUCGAGCGAACGGACGAGAAGCUUGCUUCUCUGAUGUUAGCGGCGGACGGGUGAGUAACACGUGGAUAACCUACCUAUAAGACUGGGAUAACUUCGGGAAACCGGAGCUAAUACCGGAUAAUAUUUUGAACCGCAUGGUUCAAAAGUGAAAGACGGUCUUGCUGUCACUUAUAGAUGGAUCCGCGCUGCAUUAGCUAGUUGGUAAGGUAACGGCUUACCAAGGCAACGAUGCAUAGCCGACCUGAGAGGGUGAUCGGCCACACUGGAACUGAGACACGGUCCAGACUCCUACGGGAGGCAGCAGUAGGGAAUCUUCCGCAAUGGGCGAAAGCCUGACGGAGCAACGCCGCGUGAGUGAUGAAGGUCUUCGGAUCGUAAAACUCUGUUAUUAGGGAAGAACAUAUGUGUAAGUAACUGUGCACAUCUUGACGGUACCUAAUCAGAAAGCCACGGCUAACUACGUGCCAGCAGCCGCGGUAAUACGUAGGCGGCAAGCGUUGUCCGGAAUUAUUGGGCGUAAAGCGCGCGUAGGCGGUUUUUUAGUCUGAUGUGAAAGCCCACGGCUCAACCGUGGAGGGUCAUUGGAAACUGGAAAACUUGAGUGCAGAAGAGGAAAGUGGAAUUCCAUGUGUAGCGGUGAAAUGCGCAGAGAUAUGGAGGAACACCAGUGGCGAAGGCGACUUUCUGGUCUGUAACUGACGCUGAUGUGCGAAAGCGUGGGGAUCAAACAGGAUUAGAUACCCUGGUAGUCCACGCCGUAAACGAUGAGUGCUAAGUGUUAGGGGGUUUCCGCCCUUAGUGCUGCAGCUAACGCAUUAAGCACUCCGCCUGGGGAGUACGACCGCAAGGUUGAAACUCAAAGGAAUUGACGGGGACCCGCACAAGCGGUGGAGCAUGUGGUUUAAUUCGAAGCAACGCGAAGAACCUUACCAAAUCUUGACAUCCUUUGACAACUCUAGAGAUAGAGCUUUCCCCUUCGGGGGACAAAGUGACAGGUGGUGCAUGGUUGUCGUCAGCUCGUGUCGUGAGAUGCUGGGUUAAGUCCCGCAACGAGCGCAACCCUUAAGCUUAGUUGCCAUCAUUAAGUUGGGCACUCUAAGUUGACUGCCGGUGACAAACCGGAGGAAGGUGGGGAUGACGUCAAAUCAUCAUGCCCCUUAUGAUUUGGGCUACACACGUGCUACAAUGGACAAUACAAAGGGCAGCGAAACCGCGAGGUCAAGCAAAUCCCAUAAAGUUGUUCUCAGUUCGGAUUGUAGUCUGCAACUCGACUACAUGAAGCUGGAAUCGCUAGUAAUCGUAGAUCAGCAUGCUACGGUGAAUACGUUCCCGGGUCU